rnacentral:tmRNA from 1 species
GGGGGUGCAAUGGUUUCGACGGGGAUCGUGAGUCCUGGUAAGCGAGCAGUGGAUUGCGUUAGCCACUUUAAAAAACGCAAACUUUAAAAAUAACUGACAACAGACAAGUUGCUCUUGCUGCUUAAUUAAGCAGCCGUUCUGCUGCGGAGCACCGCGGCCGCAGUAAGAGCGUCGAUUAGCGGUGAACGUGAAUCGGGGAGGGGUCCGGCCCCGGUCAUGCAUCUGGACCUACCAACGCAUCGAGCCCGGCUAUGGGCGCCUUGCAAAGGGGAUUUCAAAACGUAGCCUGCGCUCGGAGAAAACCUCGGCGAGCGGUUUUCGGACAGGGGUCCGAUUCCCCUCACCUCCACCA